UCCCCUUGCUUCCUUGGCCCCAUUUUUAUUGGCCAGUUUUCUUCCAGGGCCAGAAACACAAGUUGGACAAACUUCUGCAAAAAUAGGCCUUUUAUGGAUCUCUAGGCCAAACCAUGGGAAAAGCAGAGGCGUCAGGAGAUAGGUGUGGGACAGCUGUCCUGGCUCUCCUGGCUGCUCUCUAAGGUCACUGGUUUCAUUGUCUCAUACUCCGUCCAUGGGAAGAGCCCACAGGGGCCAGGUCCACUCUCCAGCUCCAGCUUCAUACUGGGUUGCAUAAGGAGAAAGGCUCUGCGCUCUCAGCAAGUUUAACAAGCUCCAGGGAGGACCCUUCGUGCCUGCCCAAGGUGUUCUUCAGGGUCUGAAAGCUUCCAAUUGAAAGCCUGCAAUGUUGGAUGUUGCUGAUGGAUGGAUGGAUGGAUGGAUGGAUGGAUGGAUAGAUAAAUGGCUGGUUGACUAGCUGGCUGAAUGGUCCCACUCCCUCAUAAGAAGAAGGCUCCAGAACAGGGAUUGAAACUAGGGUCAGACAUGCAGGCACUCAAGCCCUUCCGCAAGACAUACAAAAUCAGAAUCAGAAUCGACAUUUCAGGAAGACCCAAAGGGACUUCUACCGAAAAGAGAAGUUGCCACCUGCCAAUUCACGGUCUCUUGAGCCAGUUCCUGUGUGGUUUUCACACCCGUCCACAGAGGACGCAAAGUCUUAGGAGCCCGGCCCAGCCACACAUGGAGCGGAACUCCAAGAGCUGUGGUAGCGCUGGGAGAACAUGGAAGUACUUAGAUGUCAUCAACUCAGAAGGAUGGAUGCCUGUGAAGUCAGGAUGACUCACAUGGUCUGAAAGCCUCACCCUUCAACAACAGAACUUAUUUAUAGAGAGAACGAAUGUAAAGAUGCCGAACACCACAUGGACUUCUUUGGUGGAGGGACACCGGGAGGCCUAUGGGACAUGUUGGAGCCAUCAGGUCUGCGGGGAGGGGGACCACCAAAGGAGAGGCAUCUUGAGAGUUUAAAAUGUAUUUGCAAAUAGAAUGCUAUUUGUGCAGACUCUCUGAUGUGGCAUAAGGCCCUGAGGAUGGCAUGUGACGUGCUAGCGACAUACAGUCUCUCAUAGAACCCCAGAAUGAAUUCCUAGGAAGACAUGAGGUGAGGUUCAGGGCUCCCAACUCCUGCCUUCAGACACAAAACUUACACCCUGUUUCCCCAGAUCCCAAAACACCCAUACAAGGUCACAGAGGGAUAAUGUGGUCCGGCCAUUCCGCUUGUGAUGGCGGCAGCUGCCUUUGCGGGCCGGUAUCCUUCCUCACUGGUGAGUGUCUGAUCCGAGGUCUUCUCCAGCUCAGACAGAAUCUGACCCAUGCACAUUUUGGGGAGCUGUCUUUGCUCUUUUACCCAUCCACAGAUGGAAUGCUUUAAAUUUCUGGCCACAGUCACAUCAUUAGUCCAAAAUGAAGGCUAUGGAGGGUCUCACCUCGGGAGACUUACAUGACCUGUUAUUUCCCAAGCCUGGAGGCCGGAGUGGCUUGAGGAAGAAGGCCCGUCCUCUGAAAUUAGCUUGAGAUGCUUCAUCAGAGCAAAGCAGUAACUACGGUGUGCACAGCCCAAGCUGGGACAGCAGGGAUCAUCAGUGCUGCCCGACAAGCCACGCAGGCAGUCGCCCUGUCCCUUCCUGCUGCUUCAUGGCAUGGUGCGUUCAGCAGAAUAACAAGACUGGUGUGCCUUGAAGUGUGUCCAGCGUCCACCAGACCUUCACAGUGUGUGCGCUCCGCUCACAGCCACUGCCAUCUUAUUGGGACACAUCUCUUGUGCCAUUCCCAAAUCACUCCACCACCUUCUGCACAACUUGGUUCGCAAGAAGCGAGCUGUACUGUCAGGCCGCUGUUUCUCAGUGGAGGAGCCAGCACGGGCCACACACAGCUCAGGAAAUUAUGCUCAGCCAUGACCUGACACUGGGUCUUCCCCAUGUAUAUCUGCGCCGACACUGGGGGCCUUGGAGCCAUAGAGGUAGAUACAAAUACCCUUGCAAGUGCACACGGGGUGCUGAGGCCCAGACCACCCUGUGUGGAAAGUACUGAGUAGAUGCCCUUAAGUGAAGGAUCCUUUCAAUAAACUGCUUUGCUGUGGGGAGA